UGCAAGUCGAGCGAGUCUCUUCGGAGGCUAGCGGCGGACGGGUGAGUAACACGUAGGCAACCUGCCUCUCAGACUGGGAUAACAUAGGGAAACUUAUGCUAAUACCGGAUAGGUUUUUGGAUCGCAUGAUCCGAAAAGAAAAGGCGGCUUUAAGCUGUCACUGGGAGAUGGGCCUGCGGCGCAUUAGCUAGUUGGUGGGGUAAUGGCCUACCAAGGCAACAAUGCGUAGCCAACCUGAGAGGGUGACCGGCCACACUGGGACUGAGACACGGCCCAGACUCCUACGGGAGGCAGCAGUAGGGAAUUUUCCACAAUGGACAAAAGUCUGAUGGAGCAACGCCCCGUGAACAAUGAAGGUCUUCGGAUUGUAAAGUUCUGUUGUUAGGGACAAACAAGUACCGUUCGAAUAGGGCGGUACCUUGACGGUACCUGACAAGAAAGCCACGGCUAACUACUUGCCACCAGCCGCGGUAAUACGUAGGUGGCAAGCGUUGUCCGGAUUUAUUGGGCGUAAAGCGCGCGCAGGCGGCUAUGUAAGUCUGGUGUUAAAGCCCGAAGCUCAACUCCGGUUCGCAUCGAAAACUGUGUAGCUGGAUUGCAGAAAAGGAAAGCGGUAUUCCACUUGUACCGUUGAAAUGCUUAAAGAUGUGGAGGAACACCAUUGGCGAAGGCGGCUUUCUGGUCUGUAACUGACGCUAAGGCGCGAAACCUUGGGGGAGCAAACAGGAUUAGAUACCCUGGUAGUCCACGCCGUAAACAAUGAGUGCUAGUUGUUGGGGGGUUUCAAUACCCCUCAGUGCCGGCACCUAACCGCAAUAAGCCACUCCGCCCUGGGGGAGUACGCCUCGCAAGGAUUGAAACUUCAAAGGAAUUGAACGGGGGCCCGCCACAAGCGGUGGAAGCAUGUGGUUUAAUUCGAAGCAACCGGAAAAAACCUUACCAGGUCUUGACAUCCCCGCU
rnacentral:rRNA from 1 species